GAUGAAAGCUGGCGGCGUGCCUAAUACAUGCAAGUCGAGCGAAUGGAUUAAGAGCUUGCUCUUAUGAAGUUAGCGGCGGACGGGUGAGUAACACGUGGGUAACCUGCCCAUAAGACUGGGAUAACUCCGGGAAACAGGGGCUAAUACCGGAUAACCUUUUGAACCGCAUGCUUGGAAAUUGAAAGGCGGCUUCGGCUGUCACUUAUGGAUGGCCCCGCGUCGCAUUAGCCAGUUGGUGAGGUAACGGCUCACCAAGGCAACGAUGCGUAGCCGACCUGAGAGGGUGAUCGGCCACACUGGGACUGAGACACGGCCCAGACUCCUACGGGAGGCAGCAGUAGGGAAUCUUCCGCAAUGGACGAAAGUCUGACGGAGCAACGCCGCGUGAGUGAUGAAGGCUUUCGGGUCGUAAAACUCUGUUGUUAGGGAAGAACAAGUGCUAGUUGAAUAAGCUGGCACCUUGACGGUACCUAACCAGAAAGCCACGGCUAACUACGUGCCAGCCGCCGCAGUAA
rnacentral:rRNA from 1 species